UACGAAGGGGGCUAGCGUUGCUCGGAAUCACUGGGCGUAAAGGGCGCGUAGGCGGCCAUUCAAGUCGGGGGUGAAAGCCUGUGGCUCAACCACAGAAUUGCCUUCGAUACUGUUUGGCUUGAGUAUGGCAGAGGUUGGUGGAACUGCGAGUGUAGAGGUGAAAUUCGUAGAUAUUCGCAAGAACACCAGUGGCGAAGGCGGCCAACUGGGCCAUUACUGACGCUGAGGCGCGAAAGCGUGGGGAGCAAACGGG
rnacentral:rRNA from 1 species